GGGAAUGUAGCUCAGUGGUACAGCACCUGCAUGGUAAGCAAGAGGGCCCUGAGUUCAAUUCCUGGUACCCCCC
rnacentral:tRNA from 1 species